UACGAAGGGGGCGAGCGUUGUUCGGAUUUACUGGGCGUAAAGGGCGCGCAGGCGGCAGAUCAGGUCAGAUGUGAAAGCCCCGGGCUUAACCUGGGAACUGCAUUUGGGACUGGUUUGCUAGAGAUCGGGAGAGGAGAGUGGAAUUCCCAGUGUAGAGGUGAAAUUCGUAGAUAUUGGGAAGAACACCGGUGGCGAAGGCGGCUCUCUGGACCGAUACUGACGCUGAGGCGCGAAAGCGUGGGGAGCAAACAGG
rnacentral:rRNA from 1 species